UUACAUCUGUCAGCACACACGCCUGCUAACCAGGUUUUCCUCAGUGCCCAUACCUGGCCUGAGGGGCCAUCCCUGGCUGGGGAGAAGACACGGCGCUGCCUGCCUCCUGCAGCUGCCUCUGGAGGCUUGCCUGGUAUUUAUAGAAUGCUUUGGGUUUUCCUAGGGGACUGGAGCUGAAGCAGUCGCAGUGUGUCCACAGCAUUCCCCAGAUACCAGCUUUUUGCAUGCUCUAAGUAUUUUCAAGCCACCGUAAUUGCAGGAAGAUAGCCUCAGUGAUACAAGUCUGCCCCACAAGCCUUGCUUUAUGGAGAAGUAUUGUGAAACCCCACCCCAACCUGUGAUCAUUUCAACAAGGUGCUCAGGAAAAACCAGCUAUCACCUUUCCUGAAACCGUGUCCACACCGUUACGAGUUGCAGCAGCAGGAGAUGGCACAGCCCUCCUGCUGGUCCUGCAGAACGCUCUGCCUUCAGGAGCCAACGAGAGUUUGAUGAUCACUCACCAAGCCUUCAGGAGGUGACAGCAGAUUGCAAGCAGCUCCUGACUCCCCGGGCAGUCAACCAUCAUUGCUGGUUCUUCCAAAAGUUUUAAGAGCAGUGCACUCAGACAAUAUUGUGAAACGGAGCUCCUGUGUGCCCAGUCCCUUGGAGGACAGACAGCAUCACACUUCUACACAGGCAAAUAGCUCUGCAUGGGUGCAACUUGCUUUCAUUUUGUCCUUGCUGGAGGUGGAACUGUUCCUAUUUUGUGUAUGUGUGCGUUGCAUGACUAUUUGUCUCUGUCUGGGUGUCUUCCCUUUAAACACAGGACUGACGAAUUGCAUGUAGCAUAGGCAGUUGCAUUGCAAGUGCUGCGCACUAGGAGAACGACUCUGUAGGAGUCCAAAUGUAGCAGCACAAUUCCCUUUAUGUCCCCUCCAAUAAAGCAUCUUCACACUCUAAUUAAACAGCAGUUUGACAUGUUUUUGCAGUUUUGAUUGCCUUUGAACUUUGGCAGUGUGAUAAACAAACGUUGCUUCCCUGCCUACCAGGAAGAUGCAGCUUCUUGAAGCAGUUUCUUCCCUUAGUUCUGAUACAGCAGAGCUCAGCAUCGUGUUUUCAUGGCAUCGUUUGUGAGCUAAUGCCAACAGCAGAGAAGGAUGGCAGCUGCCAUGGCGUGAUGUGAUGAACUGGAGAUGCUGGAGUGCUGUUUUUGCUUUGAUGGCCCCUUUUAGCUAGUUGAGAUUUCAAACGCUAGUGCUCAGUAAACACUUAAUUCUUCACACCGCAGUAGGUUGGGGCUGGCGGCAGUGCACAGCCCGCUCUUUCUGAUCACUGCGAGGCGGUGCAGACACUUCACACGUCUGUGAGCUGCAGUAAUUAGAGGGGAGAAAGAAUGCAGGACGAACGUACUCAUCGUCACGUGGCAUAAAUGAGAAUUAAAAUUGUCAGUCAGUUCUCUGAGCAGUUUGCUCACGUUUUGAAGUUUGUUAGUGACAGAAGCAGAGCUAAAUUCAGAAAGGCAAAUGUCAUGCACAAAGCAUAAAAUGAAGGGCUAUAAUGGAAGUGGGUUUGAGAGCACUGAUCUUAGCACAGAUUCUUGGAGCUGUCUUUGCUGAUACCUAUGAAGUAAAUAAAGCUUUUGGUUUAUAGCAAUUCAGACUCAUUAAAUUACUUUGGAUUUCACUGAGGUAUUAGUUUCUGUCUAGGAACUCAUUCCCAGAAUAUCUUCCAUGGCAGAUUUCUUCAAAGGUGGCAGACUGACACAAAUCCUCAAAAUACCAGUCUAAUCAUUCUGCUCUGUACCUCCCUGUCACAUUUUUAGUUUUGAAAAUGCCUUGUUUGGUUUCAUUUCCUGGUAGGGAGAUAAGGAGGUAAGGCCAGCCAGUUUUGUGUAUGUGUGGCUAAUGAGGUUUGUUAACAUAUUGCGCUGUGUCUCAGUUAGCAAUUAAAUUGGAAGUCAGAAGUGAGAAUAUAAAAAUCUUCAUGUACUUAAUGAUAAAUUAACUGUUUUCUUUCACAUGUACGGAAUAUAUUGUGACGCACACACAGAUAUAGACACGUGUGACUACAUCAGUGUAGGACUCGGGGAGGGUUAAUGUUUGAACGCUUGGCAGUGCUCCAUUCUCAGUAGUUCGUCUGCAGUAGUUCGUCUGCGUGCAAACAGGGAGGGGAAGCGGACAGUGGGGAAGAAGCAGCAAGGAAGAAACCCUCUGGCACAGCUCAAUGGCAGCAUCCCUGAACGCUCGCAACCUUGAGGGAACGUACAGCAGGAUGAAUGAUUAAGUAUAACACAAAAGAUAAUGAUGUGAGAGUCAUUGUAGAUGGCCAGACAAAGCCUUUCCUAACAUGCCAUGGUGAGCAAAAGGAUAAACAGAAUCUUGGGAGAGAAUGGAGCUGGGUGUCAAAAAAAAUCGACGCUUUUCCUACGUAGCCCUGUGGCUUGGAGUGAGCUGCCCCAACCUCCAGCACCAACCCUGGCAGCAGGAAUCCCCGGGCAGGGCCCCAGGGAGACCUGGGGGCUGUGGUCACUGCCAGAGAGAGGCUUUGCACAUCUGUUUAAUUUGCACAUCUGUUUAAUUUGCACAGAGCGCUCAUGCGUCUGCACCCUGGGUGUUAUGGAGGAAACAGGUGAUUAUCGAACGACGUUGCGAAAACAAAUAUAUUUGACAACACUGUUUACUGGGCGAGUAAAGUUUUCUGACUCAAAA